rnacentral:rRNA from 1 species
AUUGAACGCUGGCGGCAUGCUUUACACAUGCAAGUCGAACGGUAACAGGCCGCAAGGUUCUGACGAGUGGCGGACGGGUGCGUAAGGCAUCGGAACGUGCCCAGUCCUGGGGGAUAACUACUCGUAAGGGAAGCUAAUACAGCAUACGAUCUAUGGAUGACAGCGGGGGACCGUAAGGCAUCGUGCGAUUGGAGCGGCCGAGGUCAGAUUAGGUAGUUGGUGGGGUAAAGGCUCACCAAGCCAACGAUCUGUAGCUGGUCUGAGAGGACGAGCAUCCACACUGGAACUGAGACACGGCCCAGACUCCUACGGGAGGCAGCAGUGGGGAAUUUUGGACAAUGGGCGCAAGCCUGAUCCAGCAAUGCCGCGUGCAGGAAGAAGGCCUUCGGGUUGUAAACUGCUUUUGUACGGAACGAAACGGCUCUGGUUAAUACCCGGGGUUAAUGACGGUACCGGAAGAAUAAGCACCGGCUAACUACGUG